GACGAACGCUGGCGGCGUGCCUAAUACAUGCCAGUAGAACGCUGAAGGAGGAGCUUGCUCUUCUGGAUGAGUUGCGAACGGGUGAGUAACGCGUAGGUAACCUGCCUGGUAGCGGGGGAUAACUAUUGGAAACGAUAGCUAAUACCGCAUAACAGUAGAUGUUGCAUGACAUUUACUUAAAAGGUGCAAUUGCAUCACUACCAGAUGGACCUGCGUUGUAUUAGCUAGUUGGUGGGGUAACGGCUCACCAAGGCGACGAUACAUAGCCGACCUGAGAGGGUGAUCGGCCACACUGGGACUGAGACACGGCCCAGACUCCUACGGGAGGCAGCAGUAGGGAAUCUUCGGCAAUGGACGGAAGUCUGACCGAGCAACGCCGCGUGAGUGAAGAAGGUUUUCGGAUCGUAAAGCUCUGUUGUAAGAGAAGAACGAGUGUGAGAGUGGAAAGUUCACACUGUGACGGUAUCUUACCAGAAAGGGACGGCUAACUACGUG
rnacentral:rRNA from 1 species